rnacentral:rRNA from 1 species
UACGUAGGGUGCGAGCGUUAAUCGGAAUUACUGGGCGUAAAGCGUGCGCAGGCGGUCUGUUAAGACCGAUGUGAAAUCCCCGGGCUUAACCUGGGAACUGCAUUGGUGACUGGCAGGCUUUGAGUGUGGCAGGGGGAGGUAGAAUUCCACGUGUAGCAGUGAAAUGCGUAGAGAUGUGGAGGAAUACCGAUGGCGAAGGCAGCCUCCUGGGCCAACACUGACGCUCAUGCACGAAAGCGUGGGGAGCAAACAGG